AUGAACGCUAGCGGCAGGCUUAACACAUGCAAGUCGAGGAGCAGCAUGAAGUUAGCAAUAACCUUUGAUGGCGACGGCGCAAGGGUGCGUAACGCGUGAGCAACUUGCCCGUUUCUGGGGAAUAACCGGUGGAAACGCCGACUAAUACCCCAUGGCAUCAGAUUGAGGCAUCUUAAUUUGAUUAAAGAAUUUCGGAAACGGAUAGGCUCGCGUGACAUUAGCUAGAUGGCGGGGUAACGGCCCACCAUGGCUACGAUGUCUAGGGGUUCUGAGAGGAAGGUCCCCCACACUGGAACUGAGACACGGUCCAGACUCCUACGGGAGGCAGCAGUGAGGAAUAUUGGUCAAUGGUCUGACGACUGAACCAGCCAUGCCGCGUGAAGGUCACGGCCCUAUGGGUCUUAAACUUCUUUUGCAAGGGAGCAAUAAGGUGUACGUGUACAUCGACUGAGAGUACCUUGCGAAUAAGCAUCGGCUAACUCCGUG
rnacentral:rRNA from 1 species